UCCUCCUACAAAGGCGUGUUGGUGGUUUCCUGUCCUUGGACAUGUAAGAUUUGGAGGCAAAAAGAUGUGGACUUGGAGAAGUCUAGAGUCUACUUGCUCUCUGCAGGCUCAAGAUCAUCCUUUCCCACACAG
rnacentral:snoRNA from 1 species